rnacentral:rRNA from 1 species
UACAUAGGGUGCGAGCGUUGUCCGGAAUCACUGGGCGUAAAGGGCUCGUAGGCGGCCUCUCAAGUGUGUGGUGAAAGCCCGGGGCUCAACUCCGGGUCGGCCGUGCGAACUGGGGGACUGGAGCUUGGCAGAGGCAGGCGGAAUUCCGGGUGUAGCGGUGGAAUGCGUAGAGAUCCGGAAGAACACCGGUGGCGAAGGCGGCCUGCUGGGACAGUGCUGACGCUGAGGCGCGACAGCGUGGGGAGCAAACAGG